AUUGAACGCUGGCGGCAGGCCUAACACAUGCAAGUCGAACGGUAACAGGAAGCAGCUUGCUGCUUUGCUGACGAGUGGCGGACGGGUGAGUAAUGUCUGGGAAACUGCCCGAUGGAGGGGGAUAACUACUGGAAACGGUAGCUAAUACCGCAUAACGUCGCAAGACCAAAGAGGGGGACCUUAGGGCCUCUUGCCAUCGGAUGUUCCCAGAUGGGAUUAGCUAGUAGGUGGGGUAACGGCUCACCUAGGCGACGAUCCCUAGCUGGUCUGAGAGGAUGACCAGCCACACUGGAACUGAGACACGGUCCAGACUCCUACGGGAGGCAGCAGUGGGGAAUAUUGCACAAUGGGCGCAAGCCUGAUGCAGCCAUGCCGCGUGUAUGAAGAAGGCCUUCGGGUUGUAAAGUACUUUCAGCGGGGAGGAAGGGAGUAAAGUUAAUACCUUUGCUCAUUGACGUUACCCGCAGAAGAAGCACCGGCUAACUCCGUG
rnacentral:rRNA from 1 species